AAGAUGCUGUGGUGGAUUAACUAAUGGUCAACUUGGGUGGGGACGCCCAGCUGAACUGAAUUUGUGAGGUUCUGGGCGUGGAAGAUCCACUUGAGGAUUAUUGCCAAAGGGAUAAAAGGAGAACUGGAAGGGAAGAUUUCAUGCUGUUGAUUUUCCUGGAGAAGCAUCCUGUGGCUGGUUUUCUGGAUAUGAACUUAGCUGUUGUUGUCAUCAGAGGAGCUCAGGUCCUCGCUGUCAACAGGGACGGCCGCUGUUCUCUUCCAGGGAGCUCAGGUCUUCGGUUCCUGGCUCCACUGCAGAUCCCUCAGCCCACCAGUGCAGACUUUCUGGCUUCCACCACUGGCCUUGGCCUUCCUGGUGCAGUUUCUCGAUACGGACUUGCAGGAGACAUUGCCAUGGGCUCCAGGCCUUCAGCUGGACUCUGCAGGACACUGCUGUGGGAUCUAAGGCCUCAGCUCCUGGCCUCCUCCGAUGGACCCCUGAGUAUUCGGGGAUUUGUGGAGAUUUGAGCUUGAGGUGCUCAGCUUCCCGCUGCCCCGAUCUCCGGCUUCGCUCAUCAGCCCCUGCACCCCUCAUGGGCGUGCUCUCUGGGGGACGAGCUCCAUCUGCUCUGGUCAGGGCUGAAGGGCGCCACUCUGGCCACGGAGGAGAGCCAUCCCUGUCGCCGUCUCUCCAUCCCCAGCAAAGACAGGCCUUACGCCGAGAGUCCGUGGCACAGGUGCUACGGGGCUGUCAGUAUGGUAAGAUUGGGCUUGAAGGUCUGUGGAUGACAGAGAGGGAAUACAGUCCAAAGAAUAGUUGACACCGGUCCAGGCCUGUGGCUUUCAGAAGGUCGCUUCUCUCACCUAUCACAUUCACAUCUGUCAAAGUCAACCACUGCAGGGACAAAGAACCACCAACCAGGGCUGUGCCGUCUUCCCAUCCAGGGCUCAUCGCUGCAGUCUGUGUUCUGUGUUCCCACGUCUGUCUCUUCCCAGCAAGAUGAACUCUGGAAAUUGAAGGACCCUAGUUAGCAAGACAGACUCCAUAUUGCUGCUUGACCCACCUGCCUGCCCUUUAGAUGA
rnacentral:lncRNA from 1 species